CCUACGGGUGGCAGCAGUGAGGAAUAUUGGUCAAUGGGCGCGAGCCUGAACCAGCCAAGUAGCGUGAAGGAUGACUGCCCUACGGGUUGUAAACUUCUUUUAUAAAGGAAUAAAGUGAGGCACGUGUGCCUUUUUGUAUGUACUUUAUGAAUAAGGAUCGGCUAACUCCGUGCCAGCAGCCGCGGUAAUACGGAGGAUCCGAGCGUUAUCCGGAUUUAUUGGGUUUAAAGGGAGCGUAGAUGGGUUGUUAAGUCAGUUGUGAAAGUUUGCGGCUAAACCGUAAAAUUGCAAUUGAUACUGGAAGUCUGGAGAACAGUUGAGGUAGGCGGAAUGCGUGGGGAAGCGGUGAAAUGCUUAGAUAACACGAAGAACUCCGAUUGCGAAGGAAGCUUACGAAACUGCAACUGACAUUGAUGCUCGAAAGUGUGGGUAUAAAACAGGAUUAGAUACCCCAGUAGUC
rnacentral:rRNA from 1 species